UUUCUCUCAGUCUGUCAGUCCCACAGAGGUGCCAUCAAUCACUUGUCACUCAGCCCUCUAUCCACUCAGAUGAUUAAUUGCCUCAGGAAUAUAGACCCCACUGGGAGCUGUAGGGCAUGAUGGGAAUCUGGGACCUGUGGAGUGGAAAGAGGCUCAGAGGAAUGUAUUACACAGAAACUCUGCUGGCUCCUGGGCGAUGAUGAAUGUCUGCUACUAGCAAAUGCAUCUCAGCGUCACAGCAUUCACAAGCCACCUGCUACCUAGAGAGGAAAUAAAAGAACAGUGCUACAGAGCAGUUAUAUUUCUGUGCCGAUGGAUAACGUAAACAACACCCCCUGAUGGGGAUCUUGCACCAGAAGAAUCAUAAACCACACUCAAGUCAAACAUCACCUUUCUCCUGCCGAAAUCCUCUGCUGGACUAUACAUAUAAUCUAUGUAAUGUCUGAGAAAAAAUGAAGUUCAAGUCUGUAACAUUUUGUGGUAUGACUAUGCAUGUCAGAGAAAUAAAAGGCAUAUGACAGGUGGUACUAACCAGCCAGAGCCCAAAAAGCUUUUGACUUUACUCCCAGGCAACAGAUCCCUCAUAUUUUGUAUAAUUUAUUUCCAUUCUGUCAAAUAAGUUUGAUGUUCUCAGUUCAAUAAAACAACGAAUCUGUUUAAUUGUUAAAACGGUAGCAGUUAACACAGCAUAUUACAUACUCUCUGCUUGUGUAACAUUGCACUGCAGUUCUUUGUAAGGGCUCAGUGCUGGCCCCAGUUCUGGCAACUGAUUCACCACACACAUUUCUGGGGUUUUGUAAAACCAAAUGAGGUCAUUUAUGAAAGGGAGACUGUAAAAGCUGGAAAUCAGGGCAAUAAAUCAAAGGGAAAAGAUGCUCCAGCAGUAACUUGUAAAUAGAAAAUAAGACAAAGCACACUGUGAAAACUGACUUCUGUGCCCUGGUACAUUCAAAUUAGCUAGUGAGUGACUCUAAUUUAACCAGCUCAUGUCAAGAUGUCAAGCAUACACCUUUAGCUGACAUCUGUGCCCUGAGGAUAUAGCAUGAUGACUCAAGUAAUAACCUUUGUUUUAUCAAUAUUCAGUCAUAUAAUUAUAGUGAUUGUUGGGCAAAUGAACUUCUUAUUUUGCAAUUCAGAAUAGUUUUGUUUGGGAUUUGACUCUGGCUGCAUACACUGUUAUACACUCUGCGUCCAGAGGAUAGGAUCUGAUGUUCUGUCUCUUUUUUAAUGUGUGGCAAGUCCUUGGUUAUAUCGAUCACUUUCGAAAGGGUUAAUGAGCCCAUAGAACACAUUCCAAAUUCAACUUCUGCUUGUCGAUUUAACUCCAGUGCUUAAAUAUACAGUUAUAUAAAAGU